rnacentral:rRNA from 1 species
AGUGAACGCUGGCGGUAGGCCUAACACAUGCAAGUCGAACGGCAGCACAGUAAGAGCUUGCUCUUACGGGUGGCGAGUGGCGGACGGGUGAGGAAUACAUCGGAAUCUACUUUUUCGUGGGGGAUAACGUAGGGAAACUUACGCUAAUACCGCAUACGACCUACGGGUGAAAGCAGGGGAUCUUCGGACCUUGCGCGAUUGAAUGAGCCGAUGUCGGAUUAGCUAGUUGGCGGGGUAAAGGCCCACCAAGGCGACGAUCCGUAGCUGGUCUGAGAGGAUGAUAAGCCACACUGGAAGUGAGACACGGUCCAGACUCCUACGGGAGGCAGCAGUGGGGAAUAUUGGACAAUGGGCGCAAGCCUGAUCCAGCCAUACCGCGUGGGUGAAGAAGGCCUUCGGGUUGUAAAGCCCUUUUGUUGGGAAAGAAAAGCAGCAGGUUAAUACCCCGCUGUUCUGACGGUACCCAAAGAAUAAGCACCGGCUAACUUCGUG